rnacentral:rRNA from 1 species
AGGGUUUGAUCCUGGCUCAGGAUGAACGCUGGCGGCGUGCCUAACACAUGCAAGUCGAGCGAUUCUCUUCGGAGAAGAGCGGCGGACGGGUGAGUAACGCGUGGGUAACCUGCCCUGUACACACGGAUAACAUACCGAAAGGUAUGCUAAUACGGGAUAAUAUAUAAGAGUCGCAUGACUUUUAUAUCAAAGAUUUUUCGGUACAGGAUGGACCCGCGUCUGAUUAGCUUGUUGGCGGGGUAACGGCCCACCAAGGCGACGAUCAGUAGCCGACCUGAGAGGGUGAUCGGCCACAUUGGAACUGAGACACGGUCCAA